rnacentral:rRNA from 1 species
AAUUCCGAGGAAGGUGGGGAUGACGUCAAAUCAUCAUGCCCCUUAUGUUUAGGGCUACACACGUGCUACAAUGGCUACAACAAAGUGAAGCGAGACAGUGAUGUGGAGCAAAGCACAUAAAAGUAGUCCCAGUUCGGAUUGUAGUCUGCAACUCGACUACAUGAAGUUGGAAUCGCUAGUAAUCGCGAAUCAGAAUGUCGCGGUGAAUACGUUCCCGGGCCUGGGAUCCCG